GACGAACGCUGGCGGCGUGCUUAACACAUGCAAGUCGAACGGAAAGGCCCUGCUUUUGUGGGGUGCUCGAGUGGCGAACGGGUGAGUAACACGUGAGUAACCUGCCCUUGACUUUGGGAUAACUUCAGGAAACUGGGGCUAUUACCGGAUAGGAGCUCCUGCUGCAUGGUGGGGGUUGGAAAGUUUCGGCGGUUGGGGAUGGACUCGCGGCUUAUCAGCUUGUUGGUGGGGUAGUGGCUUACCAAGGGUUUGACGGGUAGCCGGCCUGAGAGGGUGGCCGGCCACAUUGGGACUGAGGGACGGCCCAGACUCCAACGGGAGGCAACAGUCGAGAAUAUUGCACAAUGGGCGGAAGCCUGAUGCAGCAACGCCGCGUGCGUGAUGACGGCCUUCGAGUUGUAAACCGCUUUCGCAUGUAACGAAGCGUGAGUGACGGUAAUGGGUAAAGAAGCACCGGCUAACUACGUG
rnacentral:rRNA from 1 species